UACGUAGGUGGCAAGCGUUGUCCGGAUUUACUGGGCGUAAAGAGCGCGCAGGCGGUCGUACAAGUCGCGUGUGAAAGCCCCCGGCUCAACUGGGGAGGGUCACGCGAUACUGUUCGACUCGAAGGCAGGAGAGGGAAGCAGAAUUCCCGGUGUAGUGGUGAAAUGCGUAGAUAUCGGAAGGAACACCUGUGGCGAAAGCGGCUCACUGGACAAUAACUGACGCUGAUGCACGAAAGCUAGGGGAGCAAACAGG
rnacentral:rRNA from 1 species